rnacentral:rRNA from 1 species
AGCGAACGCUGGCGGCAGGCCUAACACAUGCAAGUCGAACGAACCCUUCGGGGUUAGUGGCGGACGGGUGAGUAACACGUGGGAACGUGCCUUUAGGUUCGGAAUAACUCAGGGAAACUUGUGCUAAUACCGAAUGUGCCCCUCGGGGGAAAGAUUUAUCGCCUUUAGAGCGGCCCGCGUCUGAUUAGCUAGUUGGUGAGGUAAAGGCUCACCAAGGCUACGAUCAGUAGCUGGUCUGAGAGGAUGACCAGCCACAUUGGGACUGAGACACGGCCCAAACUCCUACGGGAGGCAGCAGUGGGGAAUCUUGCGCAAUGGGCGAAAGCCUGACGCAGCCAUGCCGCGUGGAUGAUGAAGGUCUUAGGAUUGUAAAAUCCUUUCACCGGUGAAGAUAAUGACUGUAGCCGGAGAAGAAGCCCCGACUAACUUCGUGCCAGCCGCCGCUGUAAUAC